ensembl:scaRNA small Cajal body-specific RNA 14
GUGGUGUUUCAACUGUGGCUGCAAAACUGAGCAGUGUACUGCAGUCCAUGGCACCACACAGAGCGACACUGGUUCCUGCCGACAGGGCCCGCCAAGUUAUUGGGCUCCCUGUGCGAUGGUUCCAUACAGA